GAUGAAGAACGCAGCGAAAUGCGAUAAGUAAUGUGAAUUGCAGAAUUCAGUGAAUCAUCGAAUCUUUGAACGCACCUUGCGCUCCUUGGUAUUCCGAGGAGCAUGCCUGUUUGAGUGUCAUGAAAUUCUCAACCUUUUCAGCUUUCUUUGUUGAUCAGGCUUGGAUGUGGGAGUAUGCGGGCUUCUCAGCAGUCGGCUCUCCUGAAAUGCAUUAGCGGGACCUUUGUUGCCUGGCUUUGGUGUGAUAAUUAUCUACGCCAUUGUAGUCAAGCAGCUUAAAAUGAGGUUUCAGCUUCUAACCGUCUCCCCUGAGACAACUUUUUGACAAUUUGACCUCAAAUCAGGUAGGACUACCCGCUGAACUUAAGCAUAUCAAUAAGCGGAGGA
rnacentral:misc_RNA from 1 species